rnacentral:lncRNA from 1 species
ACACAUAUUAGCAUGGAAAAAAUGUUAACACACAAUUAGUUUGGCCAAAGAGAUCGCCUGAGCCCGCGCUCAAGCCAAAAACAGACGUGGCAGAUUCAAAAAAAAAUGACGUGCCAAAAGAAAUGGUGUUUCAUCAAUCAACCUCUUUCCGACUUUAAAGGCGCCAUCCAAUUUUUGGCUCGUCGAUGGAUUAAUACUUAUCACGCUCGUAAUGAUCGACCCUCCCAAACUCCGCUCCCACCUCUCCAUUAUCUGCAACAACCUCCGAUCCAACUGGCCUAGCCGGCUCCAACGCUGAUUCUCCACUCAUAUUCUAGUCCAGGCGCCUUCUCACGCGCGACCUUCUCCUCCAACGCCAGUCCCAUCGAACGCCGCUGCCCUAUUCACCGGCUGUAACGGAGCCGCCGUCUUCACCCACGGGAACGGAGCCGCCGGCGAACGCCCAUCCGGCCUACGGAAUACGACGUCACUGCUUGUUCUGCAUCCACACGUUGGAUUGAAGGUGAGAAUGUCGGCUCAUGUCAUCAGUUAGAACUAAGGCAACACAUGAGAUGAUUUAAAACCAAAGAAUGGGUUCCGCUUAUUCUGUGCAUGAACCCAUCAUGAGAUCUUAUGGGUUUUCUCUGAAAUUUCCUCCGUCCACAGCAUCGUGAUCCGCCUCUCUAUGCUCGUCGCCAGCAUCGAACUCUCUCCAUGGACACUACACGCAGUCAGCUUGAAUGCCAACGCCACCCUCCUGACGGGCGCGAUCGGAGCCUCCAGCCACACCCAGCCACCCAGGGGAUCGGAGCCAGCGGCCACCACCCACCUGGCCUAUGCGAUACGACGGUACUGCUUCCUCUUCAUCCACCUAUUCGCAUCACGGUUAGAACGCCUGAUAUUUUUACACCCCUUAGGCAACAGUGAGGUCAAUAUAAUCCAAAACUUUGUAUAUAAAUAUCAAAUGGCAGAAUCAUACAAUACAUACCACGUGUUGUUCAUAUUAACGAUAGUAGAGAAAAUUUAGUAAGUAAUCAUUAAUCACCGAUCAAUCUGUGUGGUAAACGUACACCUCUGGAGAGGUAGUAACAAAGAAAUAAAUAAAUUAAAUAGCUUAUCAUAGUAAUUUUGUGCUCUUUAAGAAACAAGUGGAACAAUUAUAGUACGGUACAACCCCAUAGCUUAUGUUUAUUCUCUAAAUUGACCCAGUCUCUGUUUGUGCAUAUUUUCCAGGAAUGGCCAGUUCUCCAACAAGUUGUGCCAACACGCAAUUACCAGACAUAACCAAUCAGGUAUAUUUUUUCCCAGUUAGGUUAAAAUCUUUGAAAACACAUAGUUCUUUUACCUUUACACGUAUUUCAGGCUUUUUUGGACGAACUCAGUGUGAAACAUGCAAAUAUGAGGUUAAUGUGCUCACCGAUAAGGUUCGCGCAAAUGAUUGAUGGAUUAGAUGACGAGCACUUAAAGGCCAUAUGCACUCAAACUGGUCUUGGAGGGCUAACAAAGAUGAAGUCAGUGUCCCUCCGACGUAUUAUGUUGGUGCUGCUAGCGAAGAGCUACAUCCACGACAUGCAGAGUAUUCACAUUGCUGGUAAGGACAUUUCUAUAACUCCAACGGAUGUCUAUCAAUUAAUGGACCUUCCAAUAGAGGGGAAAAUAUAUAUAUAUGGAAAUGGGAAAACCAAAAGACGCAAACUUGUUAAGGGCUUAUCAAACAGAUGGAAGACUUAAGCUGAGUGACCUUGAGGACAAAAUUAAAGCCUCCAAAACUCCAGAUGAUCAUUUCAUCAGGCGGUUUGUUUUGUAUGCUAUUGGCAUUAUUUUAGCACCCACGGUACAGGAUUAUGUCGACUCCAAAUAUUUUGUCCUUGUUGAAGACGUCGCAAGAAUUCCCAAAUUUAACUGGGGAUGUUUCACACUGGACCAUUUGCUAACAUCCAUCAAUACUUUUAAUUAUAAGGAUCAAGUCAAUCUACAAGGAAAUCUAGCUUUGCUCCAAGUAAGUGCUACGACACUAGUUGUCAUUCUACUAUUAUUCGUAUGAUGCAUAUAUCUCUAUCAUUGAUGUACUAAUGUUUCCUAUAGUUUUGGUAUUGGGAACAUGUCCAUGCUGGAUCGAUUUUGUAUUCUCGUAUACCCCAUCCACUAAUGGCACGGUGGGAUGAAGCCAUAGGUAAAAUAAGAACCGAGGCUUAUGAUAAAGGAGGCCUAUACAACGGAUUGGUACCUUUCUAGACUUGACUUCUUUAAUUACUAUAUUUAUUUCUUAGUACCGAUUCUUUAUAUCUUUUCAAAGGUUGUCAUGAGCAUCGGCGAUCUGGAGCCAACCAACAUUACAAAUGACCAGCAUACCAAGAAAGAUACACAUGCGCAUGAAGAUGCUAUCUAUCGACCACAACCAACAUUACAAAUGACCAGCAUACCAAGUAAGUUGCUCGAAGACACAUCCUUUUCAAUAACAUAACAAAGGUCACACCGAACCAUACUUAUUUUUCUUCGAACAAAACGAGUUGACAUUUCUUUUAUGCAGAUGGACAUGAUACUUCAAACACAUAACGAUCUAUUUGCAGAACUAGAGAAAAAGUUGGUCAAACAAGUAGUAGAAGUAGAGCACAAAUUAGAUCAAAGAAUAAUUACCGUGACCAAAGACGUGAUAAACAUAAGGG